rnacentral:lncRNA from 1 species
UAUCCAAUAAUUCUCCUUCAUAAGCUUCUUCAAGAAAUAGCUUGUCUUCUCUGUUGAGAUUUGAUAUUGAAUAAAAUUUCAAUCCGACAUCAUCAAUGUCUUCAACCAUUUCGUCCUCCCUCUCGUAUCUUGCUCGAGAUAGCAUGUCUGCUACUAAAUUGUCCUUUCCAGUGAUAUGCUUAAAUUCCGGAUUUAGUGACUUAAUAUAAGCAAUCCAUCUCAACAUUGCAAUAUCUGGCGUUGAACAGUUAAUAAUCAUU